rnacentral:rRNA from 1 species
GGAAUUUUCCGCAAUGGGCGAAAGCCUGACGGAGCAACGCCGCGUGAGGGAUGAAGGCCUCUGGGCUGUAAACCUCUUUUAUCAAGGAAGAAGAUCUGACGGUACUUGAUGAAUAAGCCACGGCUAAUUCCGUGCCAGCAGCCGCGGUAAUACGGGAGUGGCAAGCGUUAUCCGGAAUUAUUGGGCGUAAAGCGUCCGCAGGCGGUCUGUCAAGUCUGCUGUUAAAGCGUGGAGCUUAACUCCAUUUCGGCAGUGGAAACUGACAGACUAGAGUGUGGUAGGGGCAGAGGGAACUCCCGGUGUAGCGGUGAAAUGCGUAGAUAUCGGGAAGAACACCAGUGGCGAGGGCGCUCUGCUGGGCCAUAACUGACGCUCAUGGACGAAAGCCAGGGGAGCGAAAGGGAUUAGAUACCCCAGUAGUC